rnacentral:rRNA from 1 species
GACGAACGCUGGCGGCGUGCCUAAUACAUGCAAGUUGAGCGAUGAAGAUUGGUGCUUGCACCAAUUUGCAGAGCAGCGCACGGGUGAGUAACGCGUGGGGAAUCUGCCUUUGAGCGGGGGACAACAUUUGGAAACGAAUGCUAAUACCGCAUAACAACUUUAAACAUAAGUUUUAAGUUUGAAAGAUGCAAUUGCAUCACUCAAAGAUGAUCCCGCGUUGUAUUAGCUAGUUGGUGAGGUAAAGGCUCACCAAGGCGAUGAUACAUAGCCGACCUGAGAGGGUGAUCGGCCACAUUGGGACUGAGACACGGCCCAAACUCCUACGGGAGGCAGCAGUAGGGAAUCUUCGGCAAUGGACGAAAUUCUGACCGAGCAACGCCGCGGGAGUGAAGAAGGUUUUCGGAUCGUAAAACUCUGUUGGUAGAGAAGAACGUUGGUGAGAGUGGAAAGCUCAUCAAGUGACGGUAACUACCCAGAAAGGGACGGCUAACUACGUG